rnacentral:rRNA from 1 species
UACGGAGGGUGCAAGCGUUAAUCGGAAUUACUGGGCGUAAAGCGCACGUAGGUGGUUUGUUAAGCUAGCUGUGAAAUCCCCGGGCUCAACCUGGGCACUGCAGUUAGAACUGGCAAGCUAGAGUAGGGUAGAGGGGUGUGGAAUUCCAGGUGUAGCGGUGAAAUGCGUAGAUAUCUGGAGGAACAUCGGUGGCGAAGGCGGCAUCCUGGACCGGCAUUGACGCUGAGGAGCGAAAGCCAGGGGAGCAAACGGG